CCUACGGGAGGCAGCAGUGGGGAAUAUUGGACAAUGGGCGCAAGCCUGAUCCAGCCAUGCCGCGUGAGUGAUGACGGCCUUAGGGUUGUAAAGCUCUUUUCUCCGGGACAAUAAUGACGGUACCGGAGGAAUAAGCCCCGGCUAACUUCGUGCCAGCAGCCGCGGUAAUACGAAGGAGGCUAGCUUUGCUCGGAAUCACUGGGCGUAAAGGGCGCGUAGGCGGCGUUUUAAGUCGGGGGUGAAGCGCCUGUGGCUCAACCACAGAAUGGCCUUCGAUACUGGGACGCUUGAGUCUGGUAGACGGUUGGUGGAACACUGCGAGUGUAGAGGUGAAGCAUUCGUAGAUAUUCGCAAGAACACCGGUGGCGAAGGCGGCCAACUGGACCAGUACUGACGCUGAGGCGCGAAAGCGUGGGGAGCAAACAGGAUUAGAUACCCUGGUAGUCCACGCCGUAAACGGCAUGAAUGCUAGCUGUUGGGGUGCAUGCACCGCAGUAGCGCAGCUAACGCAUUAAGCAUUCCGCCUGGGGAGUACGGUCGCAAGAUUAAAACUCAAAGGAAUUGACGG
rnacentral:rRNA from 1 species